CCGGGGUUGAGGACCAUCAGACCCGCGAAGAACCUUAGCCGAAACUGUUGGGAAACAGUGCCAAAGACAGUGAAAGCCUGGUAGGCGAAAAAGAGAAACGCGGAGAUGGCACCAGAGUACCGCGGGACACGAGAAAUCCCGUGGGAAACAGGGGGGACCACCCUCCAAGGCAAAACACAGAUAUCGACCGAUAGCGCAUAGUACCAUGAGGGAAAGGUGAAAAGCACCCCGGGAGGGGAAUGAAAGAGAACCUGAAACCGUAUGUUUACAAGCAGUCGGAGACCGCUUAAUAAUAAGGUCGACGGCGUGCCUAUUGAAGAAUGAACCGGCGAGUUACGAAGCCUGGCAAGGUUAAGCAGGAAAUGCGGAGCCGAAGCGAAAGCGAGUCUUAAGAGGGCGCAAGUCAGGAAGCGUAGACCCGAAACCACAGUGAUCUACCCAUGUCCAGGUUGAAACACAGGUAAAAAUGUGUGGAGGACCGAACCUAUAUCCGUUGAAAAGGGUUAGGAUGAGGUGUGGGUAGGGGUGAAAUUCCAAUCGAACGUGGAGAUAGCUGGUUCUCCUCGAAAUAGCUUUAGGGCUAGCCUCAGGGAAAAGAUUGCAGGCGGUAGAGCACUGAUCAGGAGAGGGACCUACCCGGUUACCAAACCCAGUCAAACUCCGAAUGGCUGCAAUCAUACCUGGGAGUCAGACUGCGACUAAUAAGGGCCGCAGUCAAAAGGGAAACAGCCCAGACCAUCAGCUAAGGUCCCCAAUGCCGUGCUAAGUGGCGAAGGAUGUGGCAUUUCAUAAACAACCAGGAUGUUGGCUCAGAAGCAGCCACCAUUUAAAGAGUGCGUAAUAGCUCACUGGUCGAGAGACGCUGCGCCGAAAAUGUCCGGGGCUCAAGCACGGAACCGAAGCUAUGGCAUGAUAGCAAUAUCAUGGGUAGGGGAGCGUUCUUAUAAGGAAGAAGCAUGACCGGAAGGACAUGUGGACAAAUAAGAAGUGAGAAUGCCGGUAUGAGUAUCGAAAAGAAAGGUGAGAAUCCUUUCCACCGAAAGCCCGAGGGUUCCUGAGCAACGAUCGUCGACUCAGGGUAAGUCGGGACCUAAGCCGAGGCGAGAAGCGUAGGCGAUGGACAACAGGUUGAAAUUCCUGUACCGGAUCAAGUCGAUCGAGCGAAGGAGCGACGCAGGAGGGCACAUGAUCGCGCGGGUGGAAGAGCGCGUCCAAGUGCGUAUGUUGCUGCAGAGGAAAACCCCUGCAGCUAAAAGCAGAGACAUGAUGGGGAGUUAAAGGGAACUUUGACGAACUCAUGAAUCCCACACUGCCAAGAAAAACUUCUAGCGAGACAAGAUCCGCCCGUACCGUAAACCGACACAGGUAGGCGGGGAGAGAAUCCUAAGGUGCGCGGGAAAACCCUCGUUAAGGAACUCGGCAAAUUGCAUCCGUAACCUAGGGAGAAGGAUGGCCCCCGGUCAGUGAAGAGCAGAAACGCUCAGAGCUAAAAGGGGCGGCAGAAAAGAGGCCCAAGCAACUGUUUACCAAAAACACAGGUGCCUGCGAAAGCGAAAGCUGAAGUAUAGGUGCUGACGCCUGCCCGGUGCCGGAAGGUUAAGGAGAGAAGUUAGCGAAAGCGAAGCAUCGAACUGAAGCCCCGGUGAACGGCGGCCGUAACUAUAACGGUCCUAAGGUAGCGAAAUUCCUUGUCGGGUAAGUUCCGACCCGCAUGAAAGGCGUAAUGAUUUGGGCACUGUCUCAACGAGGGGCCCGGUGAAAUUGAAAUACCUGUGAAGAUGCAGGUUACCCGCGACUGGACAGAAAGACCCCAUGGAGCUUCACUGCAGCUUGAGAUUGAAUCCCGGUGACAGAUGCACAGGAUAGGUGGGAGGCGCCGAAGCAUUGCCCUAGGGCGGUGCGGAGCCGAUGUUGGGAUACCACCCUUCUGUUGCUGAGAUUCUAACGCGAGGAGUAACGACCCUGCGGACCCUCUCAGGCAGGCGGUUUGACUGGGGCGGUCGCCUCCGAAAGAGUAACGGAGGCGCCCAAAGGUUCCCUCAGGCCGGACAGAAACCGGCCGAAGAGUGCAAAGGCAGAAGGGAGCUUGACUGCGAGACCCACAAGUCGAGCAGAGACGAAAGUCGGGCUUAGUGAUCCGGUGGUACUGGGUGGAAAGGCCAUCGCUCAACGGAUAAAAGCUACCCUGGGGAUAACAGGCUAAUCUCUCCCAAGAGUUCAUAUCGACGGGGAGGUUUGGCACCUCGAUG
rfam:Dialister invisus CAG:218 genomic scaffold, scf7